GGGUGAGUAACACGUAUGCAACCUGCCCCUGUCAGGGGGACAACCCGCCGAAAGGCGGGCUAAACCCGCGUACAUGCCACCGGGGCAUCCCGGAGGCAGGAAAGGCUUCGGCCGGACAGGGAUGGGCAUGCGGCGCAUUAGGCAGUAGGCGGGGUAACGGCCCACCUAACCGACGAUGCGUAGGGGUUCUGAGAGGAAGGUCCCCCACACUGGUACUGAGACACGGACCAGACUCCUACGGGAGGCAGCAGUGAGGAAUAUUGGUCAAUGGUCGGGAGACUGAACCAGCCAAGCCGCGUGAGGGAUGAAGGUACAGAGUAUCGUAAACCUCUUUUGUCAGGGAACAAAGGCGGGGACGUGUCCCCGGAUGAGUGUACCUGAAGAAAAAGCAUCGGCUAACUCCGUGCCAGCAGCCGCGGUAAUACGGAGGAUGCGAGCGUUAUCCGGAUUUAUUGGGUUUAAAGGGUGCGCAGGCGGUCUGUUAAGUCAGCGGUCAAAGCCCGGGGCUCAACCCCGGCCCGCCGUUGAAACUGGCAGUCUCGAGUUGGAGAGAAGUAUGCGGAAUGCGCGGUGUAGCGGUGAAAUGCAUAGAUAUCGCGCAGAACUCCGAUUGCGAAGGCAGCAUGCCGGCUCCACACUGACGCUGAGGCACGAAAGCGUGGGUAUCGAACAGGAUUAGAUACCCUGGUAGUCCACGCAGUAAACGAU
rnacentral:rRNA from 1 species